AAAGAUGUAGCUUAAAUAAAGCAUCUGGCUUACACCCAGAAGAUUUCACAAUAAGUUGGCCAUCUUGAGCUAAAGG
rnacentral:tRNA from 1 species